rnacentral:rRNA from 1 species
UAUGACUCUCGGCAAUGGAUAUCUUGGCUCUUGCAUCGAUGAAGAGCGCAGCGAAAUGCGAUACAUGGUGUGAAUUGCAGAAUCCCGUGAACCAUCGAGUUUUUGAACGCAAGUUGCGCCCGAGGCCAAUUGGCUAAGGGCACGUCCGCCUGGGCGUCAAGCAUU